rnacentral:tRNA from 1 species
GGGUAUAUAGCUGAAGCGGUAAAGUGCAUGCUUAGCAUGCAUGAGUUCCUAGGUUCAAUUCCCAGUACCUCCA